UACGUAGGGUGCAAGCGUUAAUCGGAAUUACUGGUCGUAAAGCGUGCGCAGGCGGUGAUGUAAGACAGUUGUGAAAUCCCCGGGCUCAACCUGGGAACUGCAUCUGUGACUGCAUUGCUGGAGUGCGGCAGAGGGGGAUGGAAUUCCGCGUGUAGCAGUGAAAUGCGUAGAUAUGCGGAGGAACACCGAUGGCGAAGGCAAUCCCCUGGGCCUGCACUGACGCUCAUGCACGAAAGCGUGGGGAGCAAACAGG
rnacentral:rRNA from 1 species